AAAAACAAAUAAAUGUAUCACGUAUAAUCUUAAGAAUAAGGCUUAAGAGUUUCUACCAAACCACCGUAAAAGGUUUGACUACGUAUUAAGAUAAUUUU
rnacentral:ncRNA from 1 species